UACAGAGGUCUCAAGCGUUGUUCGGAUUCAUUGGGCGUAAAGGGUGUGUAGGUGGCGCCGUAAGUCGGGUGUGAAAUUUCGGAGCUUAACUCCGAAACUGCAUUCGAUACUGCGGUGCCUGAGGACUGGAGAGGAGACUGGAAUUCAUGGUGUAGCAGUGAAAUGCGUAGAGAUCAUGAGGAAGACCAGUGGCGAAGGCGGGUCUCUGGACAGUUCCUGACACUGAGGCACGAAGGCCAGGGGAGCAAACGGG
rnacentral:rRNA from 1 species